UACGUAGGGCGCAAGCGUUAUCCGGAAUUAUUGGGCGUAAAGAGCUCGUAGGCGGUUUGUCGCGUCUGCUGUGAAAUCCGGAGGCUCAACCUCCGGCCUGCAGUGGGUACGGGCAGACUAGAGUGCGGUAGGGGAGAUUGGAAUUCCUGGUGUAGCGGUGGAAUGCGCAGAUAUCAGGAGGAACACCGAUGGCGAAGGCAGAUCUCUGGGCCGUAACUGACGCUGAGGAGCGAAAGGGUGGGGAGCAAACAGG
rnacentral:rRNA from 2 species